CCUGGUGGUUAUUGCGAAAAGCACCCACCCGAUCCCAUCCCGAACUCGGUCGUGAAACUUUUCAGCGCCAAUGGUACUGCGUCUUAAGGCGUGGGAGAGUAGGACGCUGCCAGGC
rnacentral:rRNA from 1 species